AGAGUUUGAUCAUGGCUCAGGACGAACGCUGGCGGCGCGCCUAACACAUGCAAGUCGAACGAGCAAAGAGGAGUUUGCUUCUCUGAGCGAGUGGCGAACGGGUGAGUAACGCGUGAGGAACCUGCCUCAAAGAGGGGGACAACAGUUGGAAACGACUGCUAAUACCGCAUAAGCCCACGGGUCGGCAUCGACCAGAGGGAAAAGGAGCAAUCCGCUUUGAGAUGGCCUCGCGUCCGAUUAGCUAGUUGGUGAGGUAACGGCCUACCAAAGCAACGAUCAGUAGCCGGCCUGAGAGGGUGAACGGCCACAUUGGGACUGAGACACGGCCCAAACUCCUACGGGAGGCAGCA
rnacentral:rRNA from 1 species